rnacentral:rRNA from 1 species
AUUGAACGCUGGCGGCAUGCUUUACACAUGCAAGUCGAACGGUAACAGGCCGCCAGGUGCUGACGAGUGGCGAACGGGUGAGUAAUGCAUCGGAACGUGCCCAGUCGUGGGGGAUAACUACUCGAAAGAGUAGCUAAUACCGCAUACGAUCUAUGGAUGAAAGCGGGGGACCGUAAGGCCUCGCGCGAUUGGAGCGGCCGAUGUCAGAUUAGGUAGUUGGUGGGGUAAAGGCUCACCAAGCCAACGAUCUGUAGCUGGUCUGAGAGGACGACCAGCCACAUGGGGAAGGGACACAGGCCAAAAACCCUAGGGGAGGGAGGAGGGGGGAAUUUGGAAAAAGGGGGCAAAGCCGAAUCAAGAAAGGCGGGGGGGAGGAAGAGGGCCUGGGGGUUGUAAACUUUUUUUGAAAGGAACAAAAGGGCUUUGGUAAAAACCCGGGGCUAAGGAGGGAACCGAAAGAAAAAGCACCGGAUAAUUACGG